AGCUUUGUGCAAGGGCAGUCUUGUAGCCAAUGAGGUUUAUCCGAGGCACAAUUAGUGCUACUUU
rnacentral:snRNA from 1 species